AGAUUAUCUGUGGACUUUUCAGCUGCAAUUGACUGGUCCUUGAUUUUUGCUGCAAACGACUAUCCUUUGACUUUCUAUCACCAGCUGAUGUUUGCUUGCACUCAGACUGUUCAUCUAGUUAAAUACUCCAUAUGAAUUGAGGCUCAUCAGUGCCCAUGUUAUUGUCUUACUUAAUUCCCCUGUAUUCACCUUGAUUUUAUUACGCUUCAAGUCCUGUCAGUUGAACUUGGAUUUCAAUAUCCACCCUGAGGGGGUUUUUCCUUGACUGGCUGUGCAUGAAGCUAGGAGUAAUCUAGAGAGACGAUCUUGUCCUAAUUCCCCUGAAGAAGCCAAGAGGCGAAACUAGUAGGGUCGACCUGAUCGAAAAAAUUAUUUCUAGAUCUUGCUC